UUACCUACUCUUGACAUCCAGAGAACUUUCCAGAGAUGGAUUGGUGCCUUCGGGAACUUUGAGACAGGUGCUGCAUGGCUGUCGUCAGCUCGUGUUGUGAAAUGUUGGGUUAAGUCCCGCAACGAGCGCAACCCUUAUCCUUUGUUGCCAGCGGUUCGGCCGGGAACUCAAAGGAGACUGCCAGUGAUAAACUGGAGGAAGGUGGGGAUGACGUCAAGUCAUCAUGGCCCUUACGAGUAGGGCUACACACGUGCUACAAUGGCGUAUACAAAGAGAAGCGACCUCGCGAGAGCAAGCGGACCUCAUAAAGUACGUCGUAGUCCGGAUUGGAGUCUGCAACUCGACUCCAUGAAGUCGGAAUCGCUAGUAAUCGUA
rnacentral:rRNA from 1 species